rnacentral:rRNA from 1 species
AUGAACAUACUCAGUAGUUUUGGCAACGCCUCUGGCCUGAAGAUCAACAACGCAAAAUCCACGGCGACUCCAAUUUGCUGCAACAACGUCGACCUCAACGCAGUUCUUCAGUCUUUCGGAGGGCCGGUUACGCAGUUCCCAAUUAGAUAUCUAGGUCUUCUCCUCACAAUCAGCCACCUCCGUCUCGUCCAUCUCCAAUUCAUCCUCGAUCGUAUUAGGGCUAGGCUUGCGGGCUGGAAGGGGAAAUUGUUAUCCAUCGCCGGCCAUAGAGUUCUU